GACGAACGCUGGCGGCGUGCCUAAUACAUGCAAGUAGAACGCACAGUUUAUACCGUAGCUUGCUACACCAUAGACUGUGAGUUGCGAACGGGUGAGUAACGCGUAGGUAACCUGCCUGGUAGCGGGGGAUAACUAUUGGAAACGAUAGCUAAUACCGCAUAAUAUUAAUUAUUGCAUGAUAAUUGAUUGAAAGAUGCAACUGCAUCACUACCAGAUGGACCUGCGUUGUAUUAGCUAGUAGGUGAGGUAACGGCUCACCUAGGCGACGAUACAUAGCCGACCUGGGAGGGUGAUCGGCCACACUGGGACUGAGACACGGCCCAGACUCCUACGGGAGGCAGCAGUAGGGAAUCUUCGGCAAUGGACGAAAGUCUGACCGAGCAACGCCGCGUGAGUGAAGAAGGGUUUCGGAUCGGAAAGCUCUGUUGUAAGAGAAGAACGGGUGUGAGAGUGGAAAGUUCACACUGUGACGGUAGCUUACCAGAAAGGGACGGCUAACUACGUG
rnacentral:rRNA from 1 species